GAUGAACGCUAGCGGCAGGCCUAAUACAUGCAAGUCGAACGGUAGUUCCGAUUUAUCGGAAUGAGAGUGGCGCACAGGUGCGUAACGCGUAUGCAACCUACCCUAUACAGGGGGAUAGCCCGGAGAAAUCUGGAUUAAUACCCCAUAGUACUAUAUUGAGGCAUUUCGAGAUAGUUAAAGAUUCAUCGGUAUAGGAUGGGCAUGCGUCUGAUUAGCUAGUUGGCGGUGUAACGGACCACCAAGGCGACGAUCAGUAGGGGUUCUGAGAGGAAGGUCCCCCACACUGGCACUGAGAUACGGGCCAGACUCCUACGGGAGGCAGCAGUAGGGAAUAUUGGGCAAUGGACGAGAGUCUGACCCAGCCAUGCCGCGUGCAGGAAGACGGCGUUCUGCGUUGUAAACUGCUUUUAUCUGGGAAGAAAAGGCCCAUGCGUGGGACAUUGCCGGUACCAGAUGAAUAAGCACCGGCUAACUCCGUGCCAGCAGCCGCGGUAAUACGGAGGGUGCAAGCGUUGUCCGGAUUUAUUGGGUUUAAAGGGUGCGUAGGCGGCUAUUUAAGUCAGUGGUGAAAGACUCCGGCUCAACCGGGGCAGUGCCAUUGAUACUGGAUAGC
rnacentral:rRNA from 1 species